GUCCUUGUAGCUCAAUUGGAUAGAGCAAUCCCCUUCUAAGGGAUAGGUUAUAAGUUCAAAUCUUAUCAGGGACA
rnacentral:tRNA from 1 species